rnacentral:lncRNA from 1 species
GUGCAGUGACUUCUAUGUUUUGGGUUGAUGCUGAAUUAGGGAGUGAUAUUUACCUUGAUGGUAUCAUAACUAUUGUGGAUUCAAAAUAUGGAUUAAAAGCAAAGAAUUGGACAACUUAAAAUGACAGCUCUCUAUUCUGAGGACUUGACACCCGGGCUACUGACAUUGUUCUUUUCAGUUCUACAAAUGUGACAGCAUUUAAUGCAAUAGAAGCAAUGAAUGAAGUUACCCAGAGAAGGUCAACAUUUAACAGAAGAGAAACCUGAUGGCCUUAUCAAUGAAGCUACUAGGCAAGUUGCUUUGGCAGAUAUCAUUCUCAUUAAUAAAACAGACUUGGUUCCAGAAGAAGAUGUAAAGAAAUUAAGAACGACAAUUAGAUCCAUAAAUGGACUAGGACAAAUCUUAGAAACACAAAGAUCAAGAACAAUAAACAUGCAGUGAUUGAUUUUUCUUACUUCAAGUGGAUGAGUGAGCAAGUGACUAAAAUCUUCUGUGAAUUCUUCAGUAGUUGAUCUCUCUAAUGUAUUAGAUCUUCAUGCCUUUGAUAGUCUCUCUGGAAUAAG